CUUGACGACCAUAGAUCCUUGGACCCCCCUCAUCCCCUCCCGAACUCAGUAGUUAAAGUAUGCAUCGCCGAUGGUAGUGUGGGGUUUCCCCAUGUGAGAGUAGGUCAUCGUCAAGA
rnacentral:rRNA from 1 species